rnacentral:RNase_P_RNA from 3 species
UGUGGCAAGUGGGCAGCUUACCGAAAGGAGGAAGCUCUCCCCAUGCUAAGAUGAUCAAAAUAAGCUUAAGGCUUGAUUCGGAACAGAAACGGCACCUUGAAUCCUGAGAAUGCGAUGACACUACGAGCUUGGAGGAGGGGAUGAAACGGCCGAUGUGACCAUCGAUGUGCAUGCAAGGUUUUAAACCGCUUAGUCGAAUGCUGCCAAAAACAGAAGGGAGGCUACAACUUGCCACA